CACGUAGGGGGCGAGCGUUGUCCGGAUUCAUUGGGCGUAAAGGGCGCGCAGGCGGCCCGGAAAGUCGGAUGUGAAAACUCGAGGCUCAACCUCGAGCGUGCACCCGAUACUGCCGGGCUUGAGGCAGGUAGGGGAGAUCGGAAUUCCUGGUGUAGCGGUGAAAUGCGCAGAGAUCCGGAGGAACACCAGCGGCGAAGGCGGCAUCCUGGACUGGUACUGACGCUCAUGAGCGAAAGCGUGGGGAGCGAGUCCGG
rnacentral:rRNA from 1 species